GCGGUGCGAGGGGAAGCGCAGCGCCGCCGGGCAUUGACGGCCGCGGCUGUUUUGCAUCGCGCCCUUCCGUGCAUUUCCGGAUCUUCUCUUUCCCCCCACUCCCCUCUCCUUUCUCGAGCUGCAUUUCGCCUCUUGCAAGCUCCCCCCUGCCUCCUUUGGAGCAAAAGGUCUUGGAAAUAAGCGCGGUCCCUAGCCCGGGAACCCAACCACGGCAAUGCAUUAAUGGACUGCACAGCAAUGCGUCUCUCUUCAGGGUGAAAAUACAGAAACAGACUGAAAAAAAUACGAUUGAAAACAGUGCACCAUGUUGGAUUUUCUGGCUGAAAACAAUCUCUGUGGGCAGGCGAUUCUUAGGAUCGUCUCCUGCGGAAACGCAAUCAUAGCGGAACUUCUGAGACUUUCCGAGUUCAUCCCUGGUGUUUUCCGACUCAAAGACAAGGCUGAUCAGCAGAAAUACGGUGAAAUCAUAUUUGAUUUCAGCUACUUCAAGGGGCCUGAGGUGUGUGAAGGAAAGUUGGAAGCCAAGCCUGACCUCCUCGAUUUGGAUGAUGAGUUUCGGGAAAACAACAUUGAAAUUUUGACCAGAUUUUAUUUGGCUUUCCAGAGUGUCCAUAAAUAUAUAGUUGAUUUAAACAGGUACCUGGAUGACCUCAAUGAAGGAAUUUAUAUACAGCAAACCUUAGAAACUGUGUUGCUUAAUGAAGAUGGAAAGCAGCUCUUGUGUGAAGCCCUUUAUUUGUACGGCGUCAUGUUGCUAGUCAUCGAUCAGAAAAUCGAAGGGGAAGUCCGAGAGAGGAUGCUUGUUUCCUACUAUAGAUACAGCGCGGCUCGUUCUGCUGACUCCAAUAUGGACGACAUAUGUAAGCUGCUUCGCAGCACUGGCUAUUCGAGCCAGCCAGGAGCCAAGCGGCCUCCAAACUAUCCUGAGAGUUACUUCAGCCGGGUGCCCAUCAGCGAAACCUUUAUCAGCAUGGUGAUUGGCCGCCUGAGGUCAGAUGACAUCUAUAACCAGGUUUCCGCCUAUCCGUUACCAGAGCACCGCAGCACUGCGCUUGCGACUCAGGCAGCCAUGUUGUACGUGCUGCUGUAUUUUGACCCAUCCAUUCUCCAUACGCAGCAAGCAAAAAUGAGAGAGAUAGUAGACAAAUAUUUUCCAGAUAACUGGGUUAUCAGCAUUUAUAUGGGGAUCUGUGUGAAUCUUGCUGAAGCCUGGGAACCUUACAAAGCUGCAAAAACAGCUCUCAACUACACUUUGGAUCUCUCCAAUGUCAAGGAACAGGCAAGCAGGUAUGCCUCUGUCACUGAGCGAGUGCACACCCAAGUGCGACAGCUUCUAAAGGAAGGCUGCUUGAGAGAGGAAAUCGUGCUGGACAACAUUCCCAAGCUGCUGAACUGCUUGCGGGACUGCAACGUGGCUAUCCGGUGGCUGAUGCUUCACACAGCGGAUUCGGCCUGCGAUCCGAAUAACAAGCGGCUUCGCCAAAUAAAGGAUCAAGUUUUAACAGAUUCCAAGUUCAACCCCAAGAUCCUUUUCCAGCUUCUCCUGGACACUGCGCAGUUCGAAUUCAUCCUGAAAGAGAUGUUUAAGCAGAUGCUGUCGGAAAAGCAAGAAAAAUGGGAGAGCUUCAAAAAAGAAGGGUCGGAGCGGAUGGCUGAGCUGGCUGAUGUCUUUUCGGGAGUUAAGCCCUUAACGAGAGUGGAGAAAAACGAAAACCUGCAGGCCUGGUUCCGGGAAAUCUCCAAGCAAAUCAUGUCUCUAAAUUAUGACGACUCCACUGCAGCAGGAAGAAAAACCGUGCAAUUAAUACAAGCCUUGGAAGAGGUCCAAGAAUUUCACCAGCUGGAAUCCAACCUGCAAGUCUGCCAAUUUCUUGCAGACACUCGGAAGUUUCUUCACCAGAUGAUUCGGACCAUCAACAUUAAAGAAGAGGUUUUGAUCACCAUGCAGAUAGUCGGUGAUCUUUCCUACGCCUGGCAGCUGAUUGACAGUUUUACAUCUAUCAUGCAGGAAAGUAUAAGGGCCAACCCGUCUAUGGUAACAAAACUCAGAGCCACAUUUUUAAAGCUGGCUUCAGCUCUCGAUAUGCCACUGCUUCGGAUUAACCAAGCAAAUAGCCCGGACUUGCUCAGUGUCUCACAGUAUUAUUCUGGGGAGUUGGUGUCCUAUGUGAGAAAGGUGUUGCAAAUUAUCCCGGAAAGCAUGUUUACAUCCCUCCUCAAGAUUAUUAAACUGCAGACGCACGAUAUCAUCGAAGUGCCGACCCGCUUGGACAAAGACAAACUGCGAGAUUAUGCUCAGCUCGGCCCGCGAUAUGAGGUCGCCAAGCUUACUCACGCGAUCUCGAUUUUCACGGAAGGGAUCCUAAUGAUGAAGACAACGUUGGUCGGGAUCAUCAAGGUGGACCCAAAGCAGCUACUAGAAGACGGAAUACGGAAGGAGCUAGUGAAACGGGUUGCCUUAGCCCUGCACCGUGGACUCACCUUCAACCCUAAAGCCAAGCCCAGCGAACUCAUGCCCAAGCUGAAAGACAUGGCAGCCACCAUGGAUGGGUUCCACCGCUCGUUCGAGUACAUCCAGGACUACGUCAACAUUUACGGCUUAAAGAUUUGGCAAGAAGAAGUGUCCCGGAUUAUCAAUUACAAUGUGGAGCAGGAGUGCAAUAACUUCCUACGGACAAAGAUUCAAGAUUGGCAAAGCAUGUACCAGUCCACUCAUAUUCCAAUACCCAAAUUUGCACCUGUAGAUGAAUCUGUUACGUUUAUUGGUCGACUCUGCCGAGAGAUUCUGAGGAUCACAGACCCUAAAGUUGCGUGCUACAUUGACCAAUUGAACACCUGGUAUGAUAUGAAAAAUCAUCAGGAAGUGACCAACAGUCGCCUGCUUUCAGAGAUCCAAGACACUUUGGGCACCUUUGGCUUGAAUGGUUUAGACAGGCUCCUCUGCUUCAUGAUUGUGAAGGAACUUCAGAACUUCCUCAGCAUGUUUCAGAAAACGGUGCUACGUGAUAAACCAGUGCUUGAUGCCUUGAAAAUGCUCAUGAAUUCCGUCAAUCCUCUGAAAGGAAUUGUGGCCAGUAGUAGCAAAGUGUACUCCACAGCCAUUGCCAAAACUCAGAAGAUAUGGGCUGCUUAUCUUGAUGCUAUCAUGAAGGUUGGCCAGAUGCAGAUAUUAAGGCGCCAGAUAGCCAAUGAACUUAAUUAUUCCUGCAGAUUCGAUUCCAAGCACUUAGCAGCUGCGCUGGAAAACCUCAAUAAAGCAAUCCUUGCGGACAUAGAAGCGCAUUAUCAAGAUCCAUCACUGCCUUACCCUAAAGAAGAUAACACCCUUUUGUAUGAGAUCACAGCUUACCUGGAGGCAGCUGGCAUUCAUAAUCCAUUGAAUAAGAUCUACAUAACUACAAAACGGCUGCCAUAUUUCCCCAUUGUGAAUUUUCUAUUUCUGGUUUCCCAGUUGCCGAAGCUUCAGUAUAACAAAAACUUCGGAAUGGCAUGCCGGAAGCCGGCCGAUCCGAUAGACUGGCCCCCUCUGGUGCUUGGGCUUCUUACGCUGCUGAAACAGUUUCAUUCACGAUACACCGAACAGUUUCUGGCUCUGAUUGGUCAGUUUGUUCGUUCAACGAUGGAACAGUGUACAAGCCAGAAGAUCCCAGAAAUGCCAGCAGAUGUUGUGGGGGCCCUGCUUUUCUUAGAAGACUACGUUCGGUAUACAAAGCUACCGCGAAGGGUCGUUGAAGCCCAUGUGCCCACUUUCAUUUUUGACGAGUUCCGAACAGUUCUAUGACCUCCUGUGGAAGGAGCACCAUGGCUGGAGCUACCAAGGAACCUCCAAUAGGGUAGGCUAGUCUGAGAGUUUGUGACUGGCCCAAGGAUGCGGACGGAGGGGCCGAGGCUCAGUGGUAAAGGGCCCAGAUUCAGCCCCUGGUAUCUUCAUUUUUGGAUGGGAGACCAAGGAAGUCCAGGAUCGAUAUGCAGAGGAAGGCAAUGGCAAACCUCCUUUUACCUUGAAAACUCUACAAGAUCAUCAUAAAUCAGCUGCAACUUAAUGACACUUUGUAAGGAUCUGCCUGUUGAGUCUCAAUAACUUCACUGCAAGAGUCCAAGACUGCAUGAGUUAAAGAUUUAUUGAUGAUCCCCAGUUCAGCAUCCCAAAAUGUUCUUUGUUAGGAAUAAAGUCUGGUUCUCAAUACCCAGCAUAUAUAGACAUUUAAGCACAGCCGUGUCCCCCCCCCCCCCACCCUGCUAUCUAUAGCAAAUCUAUCUACAACGAAUGGAAAGGAAUCUAGCUACAGUAGUAGGGUUGCCAGCUCCAAGUUGGGAAAUUCCUGGAUAUCUGGGGGAGUGAAACCUGGAGAAAGUGGGGUUAGGGGAGGGAAAGGACCUUGCCAUGGCAUAAUUCCAUAGAGUCCAUCCCACAAAGUAGCCAUUUUCUCCAGGUGAACUGAUUGCUGUGGCCUGGAGACCAGUUGUAAUUCCGAGAGAUCUCUAGCCACUACCUGGAGGAUGGCAACCCUAUACAGUAGUUACCUACAGGAAUGCAAGCUAAGAGAAUGUUUUUAUAAAGUCAAGUUAUGUAUCUAUGGCAAUGGCUCUUUUCUUGCUAAAAGUUCGACAUAGUCAGAUAAGUUUCUGUGCCGUGUCAGCUAACAGGAUCCUUUACACACAAGGUUUUACACAGAAUGUCAACGAAUAUCAACCCCCAGCAUAAUAGUUAACAUUAAGUCCCUAAAGUCUGGCAGGGGCUGCUAGACUAUGAAGCCUGUAAAAUAUAGCUUAUGGCAGGGGCCAUGACCCUGACACACUUUCCACCACCAGUAGGUGAUAUGAAAGACUUCUGUUUGAGAACUUGCCGAGCCACUGCCAGUCAGAAUAAUCUAUAGUGACCUUAAUGGACCAAUGGUCUGAUUCAGUAUAAGGUAGUUCCAUGUGUCCAUGGUCUCUCGGGUUACCAUUCCCCUGGCGGGGGAUCCCCUGCUCCCACCCUUCUGCCCCCCGCACCCACUUACUUGGGUGGCGGGAGAACACGCUCUCCGGAGGUGUGUCCCCCAAGCCACGCCACAUGCCCUGAGCCGCGCCAAGCCGCAUACCGUAGUGCAGCUCAGGGCGUGUGGGGAGGCUCAGCUCAGGGCGCACAACACGGCUCGGCUCAGCUAGGAGCCUGCAGCACGAGCCGAACCAAGCCACGCCCCCCUGAGCUGAGCCACAUGCUCCUGCACCCACAGCGGGCCCAUUUGGGGGAGAAUCAUGCCCUGCAGGGCCCAAUCCAGCCCUUGGUGAGUGCAGGAGUGCUGGCUAGCCUUUGACCCCCGCGCGAUGACAUCACUUCCGGAUCAUUGCAUAAGCUGGGAGUGUGCGCGUGCAGAGCACGCACAUGAAAAAAAAAACCCUGAGCGUCAAGGUAAGUGCCAGGCUCCCAACCUCCCGCCGGGGGAAUAAAGGGACCUGGCAAACCUCCCGUUUGGGCUCCAGGGGACCUGGUAACCCUAAUGGUCUCCAAGUAGGCUCCCAUAGCAGAGUUGGGAUUUGAACCCAGAUCUUACUCUGACACUCUAACCACUACACCACACUGUCUCUCUUCUGUUGACAAGCCAGGACGAAAAACUAUGAUGAAGUAUUGCAUUACGAAUGAGCAAACUAUGCCUAAGGCCAUUUGUCUGCUUCUUUGCUGACGUGUUAACCUGCAAGCCUGACAUCUCCCUAACCAUAACCUCUGGCAAGGGCUUAGGUUAGCCAGCGAAGACAUAAUGUUACCGUCCCAUUUGCCUAGGAUACUGGGGUACGGUUCUUUUUAUUGCUCUGUGAACUUAAAAACUCCAAACACACCCAGAACUCCUGAAGCAAAUUGCAAGGGGAAAAUCUAUAGAGAGAGACAGGCAGUUAGUUCUUUGAGGGAGUUUGUCUACCAUUCAUGAUCACCUUACUCAGGAGGUCCUGAUCGGAAAUCACCACUGAGCACAAUUUAAAAACCACACACUAAUCCCAAAGCUGAGUUACUCUCCAAAGGAUUGCCAAUAAACAGAGAAUAUUUGUAGUAUCUAUAUAGACAGUGUCAGACUAUGUCAUUCCAGAAUUGAUAGUCUGCUUCACUCCCUUUCUUCAAGAAGACAAGGUCCUUUGAUUUCAAAAAGGUUUAUUGUGAAGGAACAGCAUUCAUUUCCAGACGUACGUAUUCCAGGAUAGAGAUCCUGGCCAACCAAAAUAUUGUCAAGAAUGACUCGUGAAAAGAAAGUGGUUACAUUUCACACUCCCAAGCCCAGCCUCCCCCCCUGAGUUCGCAUAGCCAAGCUUCUCAGAGGAACGUAGAGCUGACCGAGGUCGGGCAGGCAGAUAAGAGGAUUUCCUUUCCCAUGGACUUGGCUCCUUGCAGGUGUUGAGGCCUAAAGGGAAAGAAGACUAAACACUACAAAGUUAAACAUGGCGUUACUCAGGUUAAACAGGCUCUGACAGACAGAACACAAAGAUUUAGCCAAUUGACCAAGCAGGCUGUAAGGAAGUUGCAGUUAAGACCCAGAACUCUGAUAGAAAUGGCUGGACGUUGGUUCAGCGUAGUGAGAGUUUGCAGGCUCUGGCCUGGCAUGGGACAUGCUGGUGCAGCUAAUCGACAACAUCUGUGAAUGGUCUGAGUCUCUAGUGGAAGGACCUUGAAGACCUGUCUCAGGGAGCUCUAUCCAGGGCUUUUUUUCUGGGAAAAGAGGUGGUGGCGCUCAAGACCGCACAAUGAUGUCACUUUGGGUCAGCUGAAACGGGGGUGGGGGUUAAAGUUUAAAUUGCCCUUGGCAAAAAUGGUCACAUGGCUGAUGGGCCCCCCCACCCGUGCCCAGACAGAGGGGCUCGGAGGGCAAGCUAAACUCCCCUCUGUCUGGAGAUCAGGGGGCAGUGCAACCGGCCAUGUGACCAUUUUUAAGAGGUGCCGGAACUCCGUUCCACUGCGUUCCCGCUGAAAAAAAGCCCCGGUUCUAUCUAUCCUCCCUGAAUGUUCUCCUAGCUUCUCAAAGCUUACUAGCAGCUUUGCCCUGAUUGGCCUCUGAAUGGCCUGGUGACACACUGAGGGCUAGAAAUGAUGGCCUCUCAAUGUACCAAAAAAAAGCUAGCAUUCUGUAUUCUUCACCUUGGCAAGCCUCCGAGCAUGAAGAGAGCCCUCGUGCUACCAGGUGGGUAAGAUGGACAAUUAUGGGCACCAAACAAAGAAGCUUAAGUUAGUAAGCUCUUAAAAGUUUUACAUCAGCAUAUUUUAGUUUAGCAAUAGUAAGUUUCAUUUGUUUUAUGUCUGUUGCCUGUUUGUCUGAAUGUCUUCAUGCUUUGCAACACAAGCUAAUAAAAUAUAUAUUUUAUCAAGCUGUGUCUGGAAUUGCUGACUGGGACGUGAAUACGCCCCAAGAACAAACCCAGGGGCUGGACAGCUGAGGCCUCGGUGAAGGCACAGCUCUCUGUCCAGUUAAAUAAAAAGGGCGAUGGAGCGGCUGUGUUCAGUAGCCAAAGUAGGAGGUUAAUGGGCUUGAAUUGUAUACAGGCCCAGCGACACCCGUUUCCUCCACACUUAUCACAGUUCAGACUUGAGUAUACCACCAGCAGCAGCUAGGAUGCCUGCAGGAACCAUAGAUCUUCUAACAAAUUUCAACUCAUUCCCUCUUUUCCUUCUUUCUUUU